GACGAACCGUGCGAACGUUACUCGGAAUCACUGGGCUUAAAGGGCGCGUAGGCGGCCCUGUCAGUCGGGGGUGAAAUCCCACGGCCCAACCGUGGAAGUGCCUCCGAUACUGCAGGGCUCGAGGGGGGUAGGGGCAGCGGGAACUUCCGGUGGAGCGGUGAAAUGCGUUGAUAUCGGAAGGAACGCCGGCGGCGAAAGCGCGCUGCUGGACCCUCUCUGACGCUGAGGCGCGAAAGCCAGGGGAGCAAACGGG
rnacentral:rRNA from 1 species